CUUUUGUAUAAUGGGUCAGCGACUUAUAUUCUGUAGCAAGGUUAACCGUAUAGGGGAGCCGGAGGGAAACCGAGUCUUAACCGGGCGUUAAGUUGCAGGGUAUAGACCCGAAACCCGGUGAUCUAGCCAUGGGCAGGUUGAAGGUUGGGUAACACUAACUGGAGGACCGAACCGACUAAUGUUGAAAAAUUAGCGGAUGACCUGUGGCUGGGGGUGAAAGGCCAAUCAAACCGGGAGAUAGCUGGUUCUCCCCGAAAGCUAUUUAGGUAGCGCCUCGUGAAUUCAUCUCCGGGGGUAGAGCACUGUUUCGGCUAGGGGGCCAUCCCGGCUUACCAACCCGAUGCAAACUGCGAAUACCGGAGAAUGUUAUCACGGGAGACACACGGCGGGUGCUAACGUCCGUCGUGAAGAGGGAAACAACCCAGACCGCCAGCUAAGGUCCCAAAGUCAUGGUUAAGUGGGAAACGAUGUGGGAAGGCCCAGACAGCCAGGAUGUUGGCUUAGAAGCAGCCAUCAUUUAAAGAAAGCGUAAUAGCUCACUGGUCGAGUCGGCCUGCGCGGAAGAUGUAACGGGGCUAAACCAUGCACCGAAGCUGCGGCAGCGAACGUAUCACCCAAGACAACUUUACGGAGUUGACGAUUGACGGAGCGAAGCGACGUCAAAGCGUUCAUUAAAGUCGAGUUGGCUUAGGGAUACGUUCGUUGGGUAGGGGAGCGUUCUGUAAGCCUGUGAAGGUGUGUCGUGAGGCAUGCUGGAGGUAUCAGAAGUGCGAAUGCUGACAUAAGUAACGAUAAAGCGGGUGAAAAGCCCGCUCGCCGGAAGACCAAGGGUUCCUGUCCAACGUUAAUCGGGGCAGGGUGAGUCGACCCCUAAGGCGAGGCCGAAAGGCGUAGUCGAUGGGAAACGGGUUAAUAUUCCCGUACUUGGUGUUACUGCGAAGGGGGGACGGAGAAGGCUAUGUUGGCCGGGCGACGGUUGUCCCGGUUUAAGCGUGUAGGUGUGUGUUCCAGGUAAAUCCGGUUCACUUUAACACUGAGGCGUGACGACGAGGCACUACGGUGCUGAAGCAACAAAUGCCCUGCUUCCAGGAAAAGCCUCUAAGCAUCAGGUAACACGAAAUCGUACCCCAAACCGACACAGGUGGUCAGGUAGAGAAUACCAAGGCGCUUGAGAGAACUCGGGUGAAGGAACUAGGCAAAAUGGUGCCGUAACUUCGGGAGAAGGCACGCUGACACGUAGGUGAAGUGAUUUACUCAUGGAGCUGAAGUCAGUCGAAGAUACCAGCUGGCUGCAACUGUUUAUUAAAAACACAGCACUGUGCAAACACGAAAGUGGACGUAUACGGUGUGACGCCUGCCCGGUGCCGGAA
rnacentral:rRNA from 1 species